rnacentral:lncRNA from 1 species
AUCCUCUGAAAUGCUUCAGUUAUUUAUUUACACAUUCAUGGGUCGUCACCCCCUCCCCUCUGCAACAAGGUAUUCCCAGCACCUAAUAUAAUGUCUGGUACAUAUUGGGAGCUCAGUAAAUAUUUGUUACAUAAGAAUAAAAGCAGGAAGGAAAGGAGGAGGUAGGGAGAAGGAAAAAAAAAAAAAGCAAAAACCCUAAUCCCUCUUAGCAUCACAUAAAAAACAUACAUCACAUUUUGUCUUUAUGAUAGGAGUGGAGUAGGCACAGGUAGUUUUAGAAGUCCCAAUAAGGACAAGAGAGAAUGAGGGAAACUUAGGGGACGUUGGAAGAUCACUGUAAGUAAAUAAAUGCUCAAAAAACCUGCCUUGCUUUUUUUGCUCAAAAGCAAGCGAUGGCUUUUUUGCAGAAUUUAUUAACUUAGGGUGAUCUCCCCAAAUCCCCUAGAUUUCCCUCUCUUUCUACGAUCCUUUUUUGGGACUUCUACAACCACCUGUGCCUCGGCCAUCCCUAUCAAUUAAGUCUUGCAUUAUGGACCCAACAUUACUAAGGGUGGAAAGGGGGAAGGUACAGGGUGUGUGGGCAACUGCCCAGUCCCAGCUGGCCAUUUUCUGUGGUUCAUAUGGAAACGUUUCGAAAUAUAAGAGACAAAUCGGGGAGGGUUAGUUAAGGUUGAAGAGUUCCGAGUGAUGGACUGAGGAAUCUAGAUUAAAUCAGUAUGCAUGAAGGAUGGCACACACCAUUUAAAAGAGGGUCCUGGAGCCAAACCACCAAGGUUCACACUCCAGCUCCACUGUUCACUGCGGCAUGAUAUUGGGCAAAUUAAAUAAUUUCCAUCUACCUCCGUUUCCUCAUAUGUAACAACAUCACAGAUUUCUUGUGAACAUUAUAUUGCAAGUUCAUCUUGUGUGUGUGUGUUUGUCUUUUUUAGGGCCUCACCCAAGGCAUAUGGAGGUUCCCAGGCUAGGGGUCUAAUCAGAGCUGUAGGUGCUGGCCUACGCCAGAGACAUAGCAGUGUGGGAUCCCAGUCACGUCUGCAACCUACACCGCAUUUCACGGAUCCUUAACCCACUGAGCAAGGCCAGGGGUCAAACCCGAAAUCUCAUGGUUCCUAGUUGGGUUCGUUUCCUCUGUGCCAGGACAGGAACUCCCACAAGUUCAUUAUUAGCUAAGAGCAUCGCAGAACGGUAAGUGGUAGCUGCUAUUAUUAUUGAUAUUAUUUAUUACUAUUAUUUGAACAGAAAUAAGUAGUUGAUUUGCAAGGAGCAGAAACAGAAGACGGCCCUUUCAGUGUUAUAACUUACACGGGCAUGGUGAUCAAUUUUGAGUAAGACAGCCAAGAAAAGUGAUGUCUUAAACCUCUUCUCCAAUCCCCAAAGGUUUGGUUUUUCUCCAGGUGUUUCCUGACCCUUUAUGCAGUCAAUGUCUAGCUGGAGGUGACUUUAAGAAUUUCUAUGCAAAGUGGCAUGUACUAAUGCAAUGUACAUUCACUGACAUGCCAUUGGUAGCUUACAGUUUGUAAUCUAUCAAUGCAGUGUCAGGAGUAAAUCUAUUCCUGCAAAGUUGGGUGUACAUUAGUUUUUGUAAAUUGAAUAUUUUAAGCAAAAAAGGGAAGUCUUUCUUUAGAAAAAUACUGUCAUUAAUUUAUUUUUAAAAUGUAAGAGACUGCUACCCCAUUUGUCAUCUUUCUAGACGUAAUUAUUUAUUUGGGUGUGCCAAAGGCUGCAUAAAUAGUUUCUUCUUAAUAGCGUUACAGAGGAGGCUACCUGAAGCCAGAGCAGAGUUAAUCUUGAUUUUUUUUUCUCCUUUGCCUUUUCAGAAAAUCUAUAAAUAUUUCAACCUGCCGGUAUUAAUUUUCAGUGUGUCAGUUUUCUUUGGAUGUGACCAUUGGACAGGUGGCCUAAUGCUUUUCAUGGAAACUUAAAAGAAGAUGAAUAAUAAAUAGGAAUGUCUCUUACAAAGAAAAACUGUAAGAGCCGAGAGUGUUCACCUUUGAUUAGUAUAGGCUAAGGUGACAAUUGGCAUUUGCAGUCUCAGGGUGAAUUUGUUGCUCAGUGGGGUUCAACCAGAUCACAAAGAAUCAUUCUACUGAGUUCUUCGGAUUCCUGGGAGGUAAUGAGGCUCAUGUCAGGAAAUCUUAAUGGAACAUUUUGUUGGAAAAGACAUGCACCUAGAUCAUACUACAUUAGGCAGGCAUGUCUCAGGGCAAAGGCUGAGUGUCAGGGAGUUUUCAUCCAUCUCCAACUAAGUGAUUGUAGCAUGGCUAUCAGAGCCUAAGGCAAGUUCCUGUCUGUCUUUUUUUUUUUUUUUUUGCUUUGCUUUUAAGAGCCACACAUGCAGUAUAUGAAGUUCCUGGGCUAGGGGUUGAACUGGCCCUGCAGCUGCUGGCCUAUGCCACAGCCAUAGCCACAUCAGAUCUGAGCAGCCUCUGCAACCUAUGCAGCUCACCCAACACGCAUGGGAGCCUUAACCUGCUGAGCCAGGCCAGGGAUUGAACCCACAUCCUCAUGGAUACUAGUGGGAUUCUUAACCACUGAGCCACAGUGGAAAUUCCCCCCCCCCUUUUUUUCCAUCUUGUUUUGCCUUAUUUUUCUCCUGCCCCACCUUCCUCCCAUCCCCUUGCUUUCCUCCUUUUCUGUCCUCAGGAGGCAUUGCUGGCUCUACCGUUAGGAAUUCAUUUGGUCAAUGACCAACAGGAACACAAUAGAUCGUUGAAAUGAUAGAUUUCAAUAGGUUUCAAUGAUCUAUUGUUUGAAGUCAGACCUGCUUGGAGCCAUGUCUA